AAGAGAGCUGGUGUUGACGGAACAAGCUAACAUGAGUGUGGAGAAAGUUUGGCUUUAUAGUUCUUUCGAUGAAAAAGAAUUCAUUUGUCAUUUGAAGUUUUCUGGAGAGUGGCUACUGUCCAAUCUGUGAUUUUGGAAGAUGAAAGCCGGUCGGCGGGACUCACCGGAGCGUGGUGACGCUGCGACCCGCGAGUUGUUUGGCCGGUGUUGGCGGAACAAUGGUGGGCUUCGCUUCUCAGAAGUGAAGAAGUCGGCGAACUGUGGCGAACUGCGGUGACGGCGACUCUCUGUUCCGGAAUUUCGUUGUCCUCCCUUUGCUGCGGAAGGAGGUGGGCUGGGAGACACGGAGGAGUCGUCGAGUGAACUAUGAUAAUCUUGGAUGUUGAGGAGAGAUGAACCAGGCAGGAUGUCGGCUUCUGAUGAGUGGUGAUCCUGAUCUCGUCUGAAUGAUCAUCGUCCAACGGGGAUAACGUUACGAAGUCCAUGAUGAGCCAAAGUGGACCAAAGCAUGGAACAGAGAGAAGAAGAGCCAGAAACCUCCUCUGCAAGAGAGAAACCAAGAGAAGUGGAUCCCACCUUCCUCAAGGAUCUCUCUUGUUCUAUUUGCUUAAGUCUUUUCACUGAUCCUGUGGUGCUGCAGUGUGGCCACAGUUUCUGUCAGACCUGCGUUCAUGAAUACUGGGAGAAGAAUAUCGUUAGGGAAUGCUCACUUUGUAAGCAGUUAAUACCUGAAGGUGACCCUCCGAUUAAUUUUAGUCUGAAGAGUUUGUGUGAAAAGUACAGAGGGAGAAGUCAAGGUGAGCCGUCGGGAGGAAACAGAAACCACACAGAGACAUUUCAGACUGCACCCGAGAACAUCAGAGAGAAGCAGGAAGCUUUAAAAGAAGACAAACAAUUGUGUGAUUCAUCAAUUGAGCGCAUUAAGACUCAGAUUAUGGAAGUUUUAAAGAAGAAAAGGACCAGAGGAGCUGCAUUAAGAAAAGAGUGAAUCUGAAGAAUCAUUUGAUGCAUGAGAAGAUCAAAAACAAGUCUGGGCCCGGCAAAAGAUUCAUAGGGGACUGUAAGCCUGACAUGAAAAGAAUGCGGAGGCCUUUGAGGAAUCUACAGAAAUCUUCAAAAGCAAAGACACAUUUUUCCAAGCAUUUGGAAAACCUUCAGCUCGAAGUCUCGAAGAAGAUGGGGAAUGACAUAAAAAAGACUGGCACUGACAAUGGCCAUGAGAAGGAGCAUUUGUCAGUUUUGCACAUGAUGAAUGAUAAACGGCAGCUGUUUCCUGGAAACCCAGAAUGCAGCACCCACUGUGAGCAGAAUCAAGAGAGAAAUCUCAAAAGGAGGAGAGUAGAACAAGACUCCGAAAAUGGGAACGUGUCAGUUCAUGGUCCUGAUAAUAACACAUCAAUACUGACCCAUGAGCAGACAUUUACCCAGUCUCCUGUCGAUGACUUCAGUCUGUCGUCAGAGGAAUCUGAGUAUGAGGACCAAGACGUCAUGCAUGUUCCUGUAGCUCAGAUGAGCUCGUCAGAGGAAUUUGAGUAUGAGGACCAAGACGUCAUGUAUGUUCCUGUAGCUCAGACGAGCCAUCCACCCAGGCACGAGGAGUCCCUGUUUCUUUUGGAACUGAAUGGAGGGUCGUCAGCUGCACAAGUAACACCUGGGCCAGUGUGCUCUGCCAAUAAAGACCUUCCUCAUUCUGCAGACGUGCACUCUGGGGACUGACCCCUGCUCACCAGCAGGCCUGAUGGCAGCACAUUUUCCUUGUUUCUUUUGAUCUGCACAUACAUAUUCACCCAUACAUGCUUUCAUUAAUGAUACUGAUCUUUACACAUUUUCCUUGGUUGAUUUAUGCUUGUGGGACCUAUAAAAACUACUUGCUACUAGCCAGCUCCUGUUAAUCUCCCUACUUGACACAGCCUUGGAGCCGGGUUGAGACAACGUUAAAUUGGGCUCGGGCUCAUAAUUACAGUUAAUGUGUUGGGGCCGGCCGGCUCGGACACAACGUGCACAAGCUUGGGUCGGGUCGGGCUUGAUUUUGUGGGCCCGAUCCAAGCUGUAAUUGUUAUUAAAGGGAAACUAUUCAGUUUUGGCAAUUUCUUUGCUGUUUUCUCGCUGGCCUAAAGUUGCAUGGCUGGUUUUUCAGCUCACAGGUGCUGGGGGGAAGCGAGUUAUAUGACUGGUUAUAUGACCAGAAAAAGUCAUAUAACCAUCCAAUGACUCUGAAGCUGUUAAGUUAAAGUAAAUUAAGCUAAAAAACUGCAGUUUCCCUUUAAUGUGCAAAUUAAUAGUGAAAUGUGCACUUUUUUUAGGUGUUCUACUUUUUUUCCAUAUGACUGAUAAAAAAUAUUUUCCAUUUUGACUAUAUGAUUGAUUCAUGGAGACAACAGUGGAGAGACUAAAUAUACGUAACAGUGGAGAGACGCUAUUAAAAUCAAUUUUGCAACCUGUACAUAUAAAUCCACUUAAAUACAUUAUUUCAGUAGUUGACAGAUUGAAGAAUGUGAUAUAACAAAUUGGUUAUCCCAGUGUAAAUGGUUUUUGAUGUAAUGCUAAAAUUGCAACUGUCCCUGGUCUCCUACUUACCAUUCCUUUUGUAAAUCCUUUGUCAACCUUAGAUGAUAUGUUAGUAACAAAGACAAAAUCCACAAACCUAGUGUGGAGUUUAGAGGCACUUUGCUUUACUGACAGAUAUGACAGUUAUACAAGUCUGGAGCUCUUAUGAACAUUACAGCAGGUUUAGAUGUGACUGUUCCUCCUGUUCACAGUGACCUUACAGCGAUCUAUUCAGAAUGGAUGGGGGACUUUGGGCAGCUGAAAGAAUAUAUGAACAGGAUGAAUAAUUAUAGAAUGGAAAAGCUCUUUCAUUGUACAUAUGGAUGUGUGUCAGUGUUUCCUGUCAGACUGUGGAGGGUGGACUUUUCAUUUGCAUUGUUUUGCUUUUUGUGGUUAUUUUUUAUAAUGGUAGAUGGAGGAGAAGGCUGAGUGAAGUGUGAAGUGGAAAGAAACAUGAACAGUAAAAGCUGAUCUUUUUUGACAUGGAUGUUUGUAUACUGUACAGUUUUGUUUUUACAUAAAUAUGAAAAGGCAACAAUGACUCCAAAACAUUUUUUUUUUGAUGAAUUGCAAUGCUUUUAAUUCAACAGUAUAUAAAAUUUUAUUUGAAAAGACAAUGACACAAUAUUCAAAUUUCCUCUAGAAUAGACCUGUGUUAAAGAUAUACAAUUGAUUCCAAUUGUUCAAGGCACCUGUGUGUUUCAUUUGAUGGCCUGUCGCUAUAACAUCAGCGAGAGUGUCAGAGAGCGAGGAAAGAAGUAAAACAUCAGUUUGACAUCCUGUGAAUCUGCUGAAGAUUAAAAAUGGCCACACCUGUGCCAGUACCAAAGUUGCUGAAACAAUUCCUGGAUGAUCUGGAUGCAGAAAGGCUGCAGGAUUUUCACUGGCAUUCAUGCCAGAUUGAGACUGAUGGAUCUCGACCCAACCCGAAGUCCCAUCUGCAGAACGCUACCAGAGUGACAACUGUGGAUAAACUGGUGGAGGCUUUCGGGGAAGAUGGUGCUGUGAAGAGGACAGUGGAUAUUUUCCGUGAGAUGAAGUGUAAUGACCUUGCCUCAAAGCUAGCGCAAGUUGUAGCCUCUGUGGUUGAUGAUGAGGAUGAGGAGGAAGAGGACAAGGAAGAAGAGAAAGAGGAAGAGGAGGAAGAAGAUGAGGAGGACAAGGAAGAGGAAGAGGAGAAAAAGGAAGAGGACAAGUACAAGGAGAAUGAGGAGCAAGAGGAAGAGGAGGAGGAGGAGUGAAAGGACGAUGAAGAGGAAGAGGACGAGGACUAGCAGGGCCACGCAGAGAUCUUCAUAGAGGAUGGUGUUCAAAGUUAAACGGGGCACAUGGAGCUGGAGAUGAAACAAUAAAUUGAUCAGUCGAUCAAAAGAAAAUUAAUUGAAUUUCAGUAAUUUUUUAAACAAACACACAAAACAUUUGUUUGCUGCAGAUUAAUUUAUGUUUGUUUCAGACCGCUCUUUAGGAGGCAUCGCUGCACUGCUGAAAUUUCACGAUAAUACAAGAAAUCAAGAUAAUAAAAGAUAAACACAGCUAAAACUAUGUAAGUUGCAAAGUGAACUACCGAUGACACAAUGAUCUCGUAAGCAGCUUUAUAUUAGAAUUCUAGAUUUAGCGGAAGCUGUUUGUUAAUACAUGCUGUUAGAUUCUUGAACAUUUAUGGCCGACUUUUCUCAAAUAUAAUGUUUUCUACUACUAAAAGACUAUAUUAAAAGGGAAAUGAUAGAAAAACACAUUUGAUCGCAAAGGAUGUUAUUCUGUUCUUCAAACUAUAAAAACAGUUGGUGUUGUUUCCUACAAUUCAACAAAAGUAUUAAACAGAUCGACUACUACUAAACAAUAUCAACCAAACAACAGAAUACAUCCUGACCUGAAGUAAAUAUUUUAUAUGAGGAAUCUCAGUUUAUUUGAUAGUUUCUGUUGUUUUAUGGGUGUUUAAGGUCUUUUGUGUUUUCUGAUGUUUAAUGAUUUAGUCGUUGUUGUGAUAAUUUGAUAUCUUGCAUCAAAAUUGACUUAAUAGAGGUACUGAAAAACUGUUAAAUUUGAUGUCAGUUCAUUUUAUGUUCAAGAUCAAUGUCUAAUCAUUAUCAUGUUUUCAUGCUGAUGUUAGUAUUUAGCUCAAAGCACCACUGUGCCUAAAUAUUCUAAAUUAGGAGACAUUCAUCUCUUUGGGAUUUUGAGGUAUUUUUGUCUUUUGUUAUCAAAUCCUAAUAUCUUGCUUUCAUAUGAUGCCACUUUUUAAUAAGAUCGGUGUAUAAUUUACCAAUAAAGCUCA